AUAUAUAUAUAUAUAUAUAUCCUUCCUGACAGGCUCUGUGUCUCAUUUAAUUCUUCUAAUGACAACUUCAGCUCUAUUGAUUAGGCAAAUAUUUAUGCCUUCAUGUGUAACUGAAUUUCUGUUCCAAUAGCACUUUUAUAUCCUCUGACAAGUGGCAAUAGGAAAAAUAAGUGCAAGUCCUAGAAUAACAAAACCACAUGCUCCACAUGCUCAACAAACCCAAUAAAUUGAAAAACAAAACCCCACUCAAGUCAAUAAAAAACAAGAAACAGCUCGGCAGCCUCUCGGAUCGAGUGGCGCUUUGAGGACGCCUAACAGGUUGCCAAUGAAUUGCCAGAGUGGCCACUGAUGUGCCACUGUGGCCACUGAGUGCCACGAGUUGUGCCAUUGAGUGCCACUGAGUGCCACGAGUUGUGCCAUUGAGUGCCACUGUUGCCACUGAUGUGCCACUGUGGCCACAAGUUGUGCCAUUGAGUGCCACUGAUUGCCACUGCUGCCACGGAUGUGCCACUGUGGCCACGAGUUGUGCCAUUGAGUGCCACUGCUGCCACGGAUGUGCCACUGUGGCGACGAGUUGUGCCAUUGAGUGCCACUGUUGCCACUGAGACGCGGAACACCGCCGAUCCCCCCCGUGGAACACCCCCGUCUGCGCCCCCCUCCCCAACCCCCCCAGCGCCAAGUACGGCAGACUUGAGAUAGAGGUGGGGAAUAUGAUGUGUAUCAAAUAAAAUAAAAUAUAUACAAAAAACAUUAAAUAAAAUAAAAAGAACUACAAAAAACAUCUUUACGGCAGCUAACCUGUCGCACAAACAACGGCCGUUUCCGGGAAAGCCUGGCUCCACCCACUCGGGGUGGCGUUGAGACGCCCGCCUCUUACUUGACGCGAGUUGUGCCACUGAGAGCCACUGAGUGCCACGAGUUGUGCCAAUGAGAGCCACUGAGUGCCACUGCGUGCCAGUGCCACAAGGAGGAUCUCGCUGUCUCUCCAGUUACAGUUACAUGCAUCCAUACACUCUUAACAGAAGUCCACUUUGAAAAUAAGUCCACCAUCUCUGGAAGAUUUGGGUAAAGCAGAAAUGGAGCUCAUUCGACUAAGUCAGCUCCAGGAGUACGCAGAAGAAAUCGGUGCUGUGCAAGGAAACACUACAGACUGGACCCUGUGUUGCAUGAUGGGAUACUGAGAGUUGGAGGCAGGUUAAAUAAAUCUGCAAUGCCACAGGAAGCUAAACAUCCAGUUAUUCUCUCAAAGAAAUCACCUCUUGCCGAUCUCAUACUGCAACACAUCCAUCAAGAAAUUGGACAUUGUGGAUGCAACGACAUACUUGCAACGCUGGAUCCCUCAAGCUAGCUUGGGCGUCAGGAAAAUAAUAUCAAGAUGCACACUAUGCAGAAGAUUCAACGCCCAAGCUGGGAAGCAAAAAAUGGCGGACCUGCCAGAAGACAGGUUACUGCCAGAUCAGCCACCCUUCACAAAUGUGGGUGUUGAUUUCUUUGGUCCUUUCGAAGUCAAGCAUGGAUGCGGCCUUGUAAACGCCACGGUGUGAUUUUCACUUGUCUUGCUGUGAGAGCUGUACAUAUUGAAAUAGCCCUCAGUCUAGACACACUGAUUCAUGUAUUAAUGCCAUAGGUCGGUUUGUCUGCAGAAAAAGACAGGUAUCAAUAAUGCGUUCAACAAAUUUCGUUGCCGCCGAAAGAGAACUGCGCCAGGCAGUUAAAAAAACCUGAGUCAGACAAAAAUACAGAACACCACCAACACAGCAGCAACAUAUUAUGGCGACACCAGACCACAUGAAGCAUACAUCAUAAAGCAGACAAGAAAACAUUGGAAAUUAAGAGAGCUUACCAAGUGGCUGCACACCAGGUUGAAAGUCAUUACAAACAAAGUGAAUCUCGUGCUUCCUUUUCACGUUGUAAACACCGGUCACAUGUCCUCACAGCACACUCCUCUCUUAAAGGGGCACUACACUAUUGCGCUGCUUAACCUCAA
ensembl:lncRNA